UUGUUGAUCUUAGAUAAUCGAUUGUUAAGCGUAAAAUCUGGGAUUGAUUUUUGGAACGAUUGGCAAACAAUCGAUUGUGGAUUCUUGACAAUAGAUUGUCACAGAGUAAAAUCAGCAGUUCUUAGUUGGCAAUUAGGCAACGGUAAUAUAAGGUUUUUCAACUAUAAAUACAGCUCAAAUUCAGUCUUUUGAGUACACAAUAACACACAACAACUGAUCAUUCAAUUGCUAGUGCUUGCAUACUCUAUUGCUUAUCAUUUUAUAUUCAUUACAUAAGUUUAUGAGAGCCAAAUUAUUGUUCAAAGUUGUUGUGAUCUUGAGCGUAUUCUUUUACUCAUAUCUAC
rnacentral:lncRNA from 1 species